rnacentral:tRNA from 1 species
UCCUCAGUAGCUCAGCGGUAGAUCAGUCGGCUGUUAACUGACUAGUCGUAGGUUCAAAUCCUACUUGAGGAG